rnacentral:rRNA from 1 species
GGAUGCGAUCAUACCAGCACUAAAGCACCGGAUCCCAUUAGAACUUCGAAGUUAAGCGUGCUUGGGCGAGAGUAGUACUAAGAUGGGUGACCUCCUGGGGCUUUAGUGCUAGGAUGGGUGACCUCCUAGGAAGUCCUCGUGUUGCAUUCC